UACGGAGGGUGCAAGCGUUAUCCGGAUUCACUGGGCUUAAAGGGUGCGUAGGUGGGUCUGUAAGUCAGUGGUGAAAUCUCCAAGCUUAACUUGGAAACUGCCGUUGAUACUAUAGACCUUGAAUGCUGUAGAGGUGAGCGGAAUAUGUCAUGUAGCGGUGAAAUGCUUAGAUAUGACAUAGAACACCAAUUGCGAAGGCAGCUCACUACCCAGAUAUUGACACUGAGGCACGAAAGCGUGGGGAGCAAACAGG
rnacentral:rRNA from 1 species